rnacentral:lncRNA from 1 species
CCCUUUCUGAAUUAAAGCUUGUUCUCCUUACCCCCUCCAACCCAACAUGUCUAGCUCCGCCCCCGACUCAGCUUGCUACCAUGCAACUAGUGCUUUACCAACCUAUUUCUGUUUUACACGUUCAUAACUGAUAAAAGUAAUGACUUUUUAUUAUGCAGUAUGCUGAUAUGGAUCUGCACACACCAACUUCUUUGCAGUUCUACUCCAUAUGUUUCUUUGCAAUUUCUUAUGCCUUGUCUUUGUAUCCAGGUCUUGCGAUCAAAUCAUGGGGAUGAGUAUUCUUUCGCCGAGCUAAAUCCUAUCCAAUGGACGUGUGGUGAUUCUCCUAAGGUUGAUUACGAAUGUCUUUCUUCUUGUUGAUCUUCCGUAGGUUAUAAUGCCUAUUUUUCUUGUGCUUGUGAGGAAGUUAAUUAGAGAUAUCAUGACCACUUGCAGAACAUGUUUAAUUGGGUUUGGUUUGUAUAUGUGUAGUUUAGAGUCUUGUGGGUUCGCGUGUCUUGUGAAGAUUCCAGUUAGUAUUUUACUACAUUAACAUGUGUCUCUUGUCAGUCACGAAUGAGUGGACAUAUUAGACUGUUUGCUUCCUCCAAUAUACUGCUAUAAGAAGUAACGAACAAUACAUGGUCAGCCACUACCAAUGUAAUUUCCAACUUUGCUUGUUCCAGAUUCUUGUGCCUAUUGCUAAUGGGAGCGAGGAGAUGGAAGCUGUUAUCAUCAUUGAUGUACUCCGACGAGCAAAAGCUGAAGUGGUAGUGGCAUCUGUCGGAGAGAAACUCGAAAUUGAGGCUUCUAGGAAUGUCAAACUAGUUGCUGAUGUUCUCCUAGAUGAAGUCAUUGGCAAUUCGUUUGACCUUAUUGUCUUACCGGUAUGAGAUUUGUCAUCUGCUGUUGGUAUCUGCUAAUAUGUAUAAUAACAUGUCACAUCUGGUGCAUAACAUUCUGUACAAUCAGGGUGGACUUGGUGGAGCUCAAGCCUUCACAGAGUCGGAUAAGCUCGUAAAUUUGCUGAAGAAACAAAGAGAAUCAAAUAAACUAUACGGAGCAAUAUGUGCAUCUCCAGCUUUGGUCCUCGAGCCCCAUGGUUUGCUCAAGGUUGAAUUCAAAACUUUUAGAUGAUGAAACUGCACCACAGGCUUGCAUUUUGGCAACAACAUAAAGUUUACACAAAUUGCAUGCAUUUUGUUGCUCUUGUAAUUAAAAUUUUCAUUUACAUAUUUACAAUCAGUAGUUGAGAAACAUUGUUGAUUACUAGUUUCUAAUUAGUUGAAUUGAUUUUGAUCUCGAUCUUUAUCUUGCAGGGUAAAAAGGCUACUGCUUUUCCCGCCAUGUGCAACAAAUUGUCAGACCCGAGUGAAGCAGAAAACCGAGUGGUGGUGGAUGGCAAUCUUGUCACAAGUCGAGGACCCGGAACCACCAUGGAGUUUGCAUUGGUGAUAGUUGAGAAGUUUUUUGGACGGGAUAAAGCCCUUGAGCUUGCAAAGGCCAUGGUUUUCGUGCAUUAGUAGAUAUCUCGUCGAAAUGAUGUGCUGUGGUAAGUUUUACUUUAAUCUUACUACUCAAAUCCUACGAGGAGACGAUGUUGUAAUGGCUGCUGCUAUCUUGUAAUCUCCUCUGCAAGUCUCUUGUCUUGCUCAAGUGAUUAUCAAUAAAAUCUUCAACGAGGUUUUGAUAUAUGAUUUAGGUAAGUAUGAAUUUUCAAGUUUUUGAUGGGUCCGAUUGAAUCCUUAUUCCUUCAAAAUGGCUUUCAGCAAAAAAAUCCGCAUCAUGUGGCGAAAUUUGUUGCUGAGUUUACUAAGGGUGCAUUUACUUUGGUUAUUAAAUUUUAUGGAUAAGAAAAAAUAUUAUUUUUCUCACAUUUUUUAUCAUAUGUUUAUUAGGGUAUAUUUACUUUGAUGAAAAAAGAGAGAAAAGUAUAUUUUCACCCAUUUUUCAUCAUUUUCACCUGUUUAUUAUGAUGAAAUAUUUUCUCGGAUAAUCUUUUUUUACUCAUUUUCUCUUUAAUGUUGGAUAAUAUUAUCCUAAGGUAGGGGGGUGAAUGUAUGCGUGUAUUGUCCAAGCGGUAAGUGGUUAAUGUUUAAGGCCAAAAGACUUGGGUUUGAGUCCCCUGUGGUGCGGCUUUUAAAUUUCUUUAUUUAAUAUUGUUAAUUUAUCAAAAAAAAGGUGGGGUAGUGAAAAUUAUUUUUCAAUCUUUUCAUCUCUAGUAAAUAUAUGAUUAAAAAAAAGAGAAAAGAAUAAUAUUUUUUCAUAUUUUUUAUCCAUUAUUUUCUAAUGAAAAAUUUUACAAUUUAAAGUAAAUACAUUCUUAGAGAUGAAAAGUUGAGAAAAUAUUGAUAUUUUUACAUACAUGCCCUAGGAUAAUAUUAUUCAACAUUGAUGAGAAAAAGAGUGAAAAUGAGCUGUACAAUAAAAAGAGUAUUCUAUUUUGCUUGGAGAAAAUUUUUCAUUAUAUAGUAAACAUGUGAAAAUUAUGAAAAAUUAAUGAAAAUAUAUUUUUUCUCUUUUUUUCCAUUAAAGUAAAUGCACCCUAAUUGAAAAUCAAGGAAGUAUUAAUUCAUCAAUGGAAGUACUAAUGGUUUUAUUUUUCAAUAUUUGUGUAUCUCUUAAUACUUUUUUUAAAUUUGUGCCCCUUCAUUUGCAUUGCGCUUAUCGUGAAUGAAUGAAGUAUUAAAUUAUAAACCGAAUUUAAAAAUAAAAUACUAAAAAAAAUUAGUAUAUUAUAUAAAUUAAUUAUUAAUCUUAUUGGAUUUGUGGUUGUAGUCAGACUUUUGACUCGCAGAUCUUUGGUCUUCCUACACCAGAAACAAUUUGGUUGUGAUAAAAUUAGAUUUAAAUAUGUGAUGUGUAGAUUAAGUAACGAUUAUUUAAAAGGUUUGAUGAUGCUCCGUCGAAUCUCAGAUGCAUUUUGUUAUAAUCAAAUCCAAGAUCCAGCGUGCGGCUGUGUUGACUUUUGAAUAAUUGAAUUACGUUUCUAACAGAAGAAAUUCUACCUUUACGCAAGGAAGGAGAUAUAUAUCAAUAAUAACCCACUUUAAUAUUUUUAAUCAUUACACUCGUAUUUGAUUCAAUACGGAGCGUUGACUUUUACUAUACACUAACUCAAGAUCAAUAUCUUAUUCCACUUUCCUUUUUAGUUUGUCCCAAUAAUCUUGUCUCAUUUCUUUUUAAAAAUUUUAGGAACUAAUUAAUUUCUAAUUAAACACUAUCCUAAUUAAUCCCCCUCCAAACCCUAAUUUAUCUCUCUCUCUCUCCACACUCUCUUGCCAGUUGCCUCCCUCUCUUCUUUACCCUUCCCACCUCCAUCCCUCUGUCCUCUGAGCCUUUUUUUGGAGCUCUCAGACCAGUCUUUGGCUAUGUACCAAAUCCAUUUGUGCUGUGGGUUAUUUAACCUAAUGAAUACAAGGAGAAGGUGGGGCCCUUUCUGAAUUAAAGCUUGUUCUCCUUACCCCCUCCAACCCAACAUGUCUAGCUCCCGCCCCCGACUCAGCUUGCUACCAUGCAACUAGUGCUUUACCAACCUAUUUCUGUUUUACACGUUCAUAACUGAUAAAAGUAAUGACUUUUUAUUAUGCAGUAUGCUGAUAUGGAUCUGCACACACCAACUUCUUUGCAGUUCUACUCCAUAUGUUUCU